rnacentral:rRNA from 1 species
AUGGCCUCUCUUGCAAUGCUAACCUCAUGGGCCAUUUGGAGUGAGCGUAAUGCAAGGGUUUUCGGCCACAAGUCUGCCCCGACCUCAGUUUUGUUGUCCAAUAUCAAGAGGGAGAUGGCCCUUUGGAUUACCGCGGGGGCAAAGAAGUUGCGAUUAAUCAUGUCGGGAGAGUAA